rnacentral:rRNA from 1 species
AUUGAACGCUGGCGGCAUGCUUUACACAUGCAAGUCGGACGAGAGGCGAACGGGCGAGUAACAUAUCGGAACGUACCGAGUAAUGGGGGAUAUCUAAUCGAAAGAUUAGCUAAUACCGCAUAUUAUUCGAGCGGUCGUUAUCUGAUUAGCUGGUUGGUGGGGUAAAGGCCUACCAAGGCGACGAUCAGGAGCGGGUCUGAGAGGAUGAUCCGCCACACUGGGACUGAGACACGGCCCAGACUCCUACGGGAGGCAGCAGUGGGGAAUUUUGGACAAUGGGCGCAAGCCUGAUCCAGCCAUGCCGCGUGUCGGAAGAAGGCCUUCGGGUUGUAAAGGACUUUUGUCGGGGAAGCGGUACCUAACGAAUAAGCACCGGCUAACUCCGUGCCAGCAGCCGCGGUAAUAC